rnacentral:rRNA from 1 species
GAGGAAGUAAAAGUCGUAACAAGGUUUCCGUAGGUGAACCUGCGGAAGGAUCAUUAACGAGUUCUGGGUCCUUCGGGGCCCGUCCUCCAACCCUUUGUUUACAAACCACGUUGCUUCGGCGGGUAGCCGGUCCGCCUCGUGCGGUCCCGGGUCACUGCCCGCCGGAGGAUUAUUUCAAACCCUUGCUUCAAAACAAUGCAGUCUGAUCGAAUAUCAAAUAUUCUAAAACUUUCAACAACGGAUCUCUUGGUUCUGGCAUCGAUGAAGAACGCAGCGAAAUGCGAUAAGUAAUGUGAAUUGCAGAAUUCAGUGAAUCAUCGAAUCUUUGAACGCACAUUGCGCCCCUUGGUAUUCCGAGGGGCAUGCCUGUUCGAGCGUCAUUACACCCCUCAAGCACUGCUUGGUAUUGGGCCUCGUCCUUACUGGACGGGCCUUAAAGACCUCGGCGGCGGCGUCGCAGCCUCAAGCGUAGUAAUUCUUUCUCGCUUUGGAGGUCGCGACGUCUCCCGCCGGACGAACCUUUUUACUUCUAUCAAGGUUGACCUCGGAUCAGGUAGGGAUACCCGCUGAACUUAAGCAUAUC